rnacentral:rRNA from 1 species
AGCAGCCGCGGUAAUUCCAGCUCCAAUAGCGUAUAUUAAAGUUGUUGCAGUUAAAAAGCUCGUAGUUGAAUUUCGGGGUUCUACCGUUGGUCAGGCUAUUGUUUGUACUGGCGUGUAGAAUUUCUACCUUCUGGGGAACUAUCAUGUUAUUAAUUUAGCGUGGUAGGAAACCAGGACCUUUACCUUGAAAAAAUUAGAGUGUUCAAAGCAGGCUUAUGUCUGAAUACAUUAGCAUGGAAUAAUAAAAUAGGACGGUGGUCCUGUUUUGUUGGUUUCUGAAUCACCGUAAUGAUUAAUAGGGAUAGUUGGGGGCAUUAGUAUUCAAUUGUCAGAGGUGAAAUUCUUGGAUUUAUUGAAGACUAACUACUGCGAAAGCAUUUGCCAAGGAUGUUUUCAUUAAUCAAGAACGAAAGUUAGGGGAUCGAAGACGAUCAGAUACCGUCGUAGUCUUAACCAUAAACUAUGCCGACUAGGGAUCGGACGAUGUUAAACUUUCUUGACUCGUUCGGCGCCUUACGGG